GAAUUAGUACUUUAAAAAAAAGGUUAGAUUUGCAUUCUAAAAUUGGCUUGUGUCCUAGUUCU
rnacentral:tRNA from 2 species